GACGAACGCUGGCGGCGUGCUUAACACAUGCAAGUCGAACGGAAAGGCCCCCUUGUGGGGUACUCGAGUGGCGAACGGGUGAGUAACACGUGAGUAACCUACCCUUGACUUUGGGAUAACUUCAGGAAACUGGGGCUAAUACCGGAUAGGAGCUCCUGCUGCAUGGUGGGGGUUGGAAAGUUUCGGCGGUUGGGGAUGGACUCGCGGCCUAUCAGCUUGUUGGUGGGGUAGUGGCUCACCAAGGCUUUGACGGGUAGCCGGCCUGAGAGGGUGACCGGCCACAUUGGGACUGAGAUACGGCCCAGACUCCUACGGGAGGCAGCAGUGGGGAAUAUUGCACAAUGGGCGGAAGCCUGAUGCAGCAACGCCGCGUGCGGGAUGACGGCCUUCGGGUUGUAAACCGCUUUCGCCUGUGACGAAGCGUGAGUGACGGUAAUGGGUAAAGAAGCACCGGCUAACUACGUG
rnacentral:rRNA from 1 species